UACGUAGGGGGCUAGCGUUGUCCGGAAUCAUUGGGCGUAAAGAGCGCGUAGGCGGCUAGAUAAGUCCGGCGUGAAAGUCAAGGGCUCAACCCUUGAAUGCCGACCGAUACUGUCAGGCUAGAGUCCGGAAGAGGCGAGUGGAAUUCCUGGUGUAGCGGUGAAAUGCGCAGAUAUCAGGAAGAACACCCGUGGCUAAGGCGGUUCUCUAGUACGGUACUGACGCUGAGACGCGAAAGCGUGGGGAGCGAACAGG
rnacentral:rRNA from 1 species